GCUCAGGACGAACGCUGGCGGCGUGCCUAAUACAUGCAAGUCGAGCGGGGGUGGUGAGGUAGCUUGCUAUUGAGCCACCCUAGCGGCGGACGGGUGAGUAACGCGUGGGCAACCUGCCCUGUAGGCCGGGAUAACAGGUCGAAAGGCCUGCUAAUACCGGAUGAGCUCGCGGGGUCGCAUGGCCUUGUGAGGAAAGGGGAGACCCGCUACGGGAUGGGCCCGCGUCCCAUUAGCUAGUUGGUGAGGUAACGGCUCACCAAGGCGACGAUGGGUAGCCGGCCUGAGAGGGCGACCGGCCACACUGGAACUGAGACACGGUCCAGACUCCUACGGGGGGCAGCAGUAGGGAAUCUUCGGCAAUGGGCGAAAGCCUGACCGAGCGACGCCGCGUGAGGGACGAAGGUCUUCGGAUUGUAAACCUCUGUCUAGGGGGACGAGGAAGGACGGUACCCCUGGAGGAAGCCCCGGCUAACUACGUGCCAGCAGCCGCGGUAAUACGUAGGGGGCGAGCGUUGUCCGGAAUUACUGGGCGUAAAGGGCGCGCAGGCGGCCAUGUAAGUCAGGUGUGAAAGGCCGAGGCUCAACUUCGGUUAGACGUCUGAUACUGCGUGGCUUGAGGGCAAGAGAGGGAAGUGGAAUUCCCGGUGUAGCGGUGAAAUGCGUAGAUAUCGGGAGGAACACCAGUGGCGAAGGCGGCUUCCUGGAUUGUACCUGACGCUCAUGCGCGAAAGCUGGGGGAGCGAAC
rnacentral:rRNA from 1 species